rfam:Oryza sativa (indica cultivar-group) chromosome 6, whole genome shotgun sequence.
UCCAAAAAAAGACAAACCUUUCCGUGUCUAACGUUUGACCGUCCGUCUUAUUUAAAAAAAUUAUAAAAAAAAAUUAAAAAGACAAGUCACGCACAAAGUAUUAAUCAUGUUUUAUCAUCUAACAACAAUAAAAACACGAAUUAUAAAAAAAUUUCAUAUAAGACGGACAGUCAAAGUUGAACACGAAAAUUUAGGGUUUACCUUUUU